AAUAAGCUAUUUAAGAGCGUAAGGUGGAUGCCUUGGCUCUCAGAGGCGAUGAAGGACGUGAUAAGCUGCGAUAAGCUACGGGGAUUGGCACACACAAUUUGAUCCGUAGAUUUCCGAAUGGGGCAACCCACUAUAUUGAAGAUAUAGUAUCCGUUAAGGAAGCAAACCCAGGGAACUGAAACAUCUAAGUACCUGGAGGAAUAGAAAACAAAAGUGAUUCCGCUAGUAGUGGCGAGCGAACGCGGAACAGCCCAAACCAAAAUUGUUUCGGCAAUUUUGGGGUUGUAGGACCACGACAUUGAAUG
rnacentral:rRNA from 1 species